rnacentral:rRNA from 1 species
GUCGGGGGGUAGAGUUAGCUUGCUAACUUGAGACCGGCGCACGGGUGCGUAACGCGUAUGCAAUCUACCUUUCACAAAGGGAUAGCCCAGAGAAAUUUGGAUUAAUACCUUAUAGUAUAUAUGAAUGGCAUCAUUUAUAUAUUAAAGAUUUAUCGGUGAAAGAUGAGCAUGCGUCCCAUUAGCUAGUUGGUAAGGUAACGGCUUACCAAGGCAACGAUGGGUAGGGGUCCUGAGAGGGAGAUCCCCCACACUGGUACUGAGACACGGACCAGACUCCUACGGGAGGCAGCAGUGAGGAAUAUUGGACAAUGGGCGCAAGCCUGAUCCAGCCAUGCCGCGUGCAGGAUGACGGUCCUAUGGAUUGUAAACUGCUUUUAUACAGGAAGAAACACUUGCUCGUGAGCAAACUUGACGGUACUGUAAGAAUAAGGAUCGGCUAACUCCGUGCCAGCAGCCGCGGUAAUACGGAGGAUCCAAGCGUUAUCCGGAAUCAUUGGGUUUAAAGGGUCCGUAGGCGGUCAGGUAAGUCAGUGGUGAAAGCCCAUCGCUCAACGGUGGAACGGCCAUUGAUACUGUCUGACUUGAAUUAUUAGGAAGUAACUAGAAUAUGUAGUGUAGCGGUGAAAUGCUUAGAGAUUACAUGGAAUACCAAUUGCGAAGGCAGGUUACUACUAAUAUAUUGACGCUGAUGGACGAAAGCGUGGGUAGC